UUCUUGGUGCUCAUUUUGCAGAGAUAAUGAGGAAUGCUCUCCAUUCAUCAGGCAAUUCCCCUCCCUCAGACGUUAUAUGCAGAUCUAGAGGAAAAACCCAUUUUGCCACAGUGGGAAGAUCAAGAAGGCGGACAUAAGAGAGAGCUCUGAGAGGGAGAACAGCAAGAAAGCAGUGACAUGACUACUUUCAGGUGUCUAUAAUAAUGUUCAAAUUUCAUGGAAAAAAUGUUGAUUACAAUCAAAGAUACAGCAUUUUGAAAGAUUUCUUAUAUGAUAUUUUCACUUUCAAUUGGAAUAUCUAAAAAUCUAUGAUCCAAACAUAUUAUUACAUUUUUAGAAACCACAUAAAAUACCUUUAAUCUGUUAUUCAAAAAAUACUUGAUCGUUUAGGAGAAAUUAAAGUAUAAACUUUUAAAAGAAGUACAAAUUAUUAUAGCUGUUAUAUACCUAGAAAUAUCGUAAAUUAUAUUGACACUUAAGUUUUUCUUAUGGAUUUUAAUGUGGGGAGUCCAAUUCUAAUGUCAGUUUCUGUGGAUUGUGUCAUCUUCACAUUGAAAAUGUUCAUUAAAACCUUCAGCAUCAAAACUUAGUUACUUCCACUAUGUCAGCUAUUGUUGCUAUUGCAGUGUAAAUUGGCAGAAAGGUUGGCAAUGAUAGUGUGAAUAAAUUAUCAAAAUUUGCUUGAGAUAGUGCUUGCAGUUCUGGGGGAACUUUAAUUUUUUCUUCUCAUAGACUUAGCAGGGGAUUUGGUUAACCAGUUAAAAUUUAAGAGUAAAUCAAGGGGUUCUUUUAACCUGAAAAAAAUGGAAGUGGGGAGCAGGGAUUGAAUCCUUGGCUACAAGCUUGAUAAUACACCAACAUGAAUACUACCAUCAAUCCCUGCUACCUUACUUCUCCUCAUGAACACACAUAUAUACAGAGAGAACAUUCACAUUGAAGAUUUUAACAAUGACUUUUUUAAAAGUUGGAUUUGCU
rnacentral:lncRNA from 1 species